UAGCAUAUCAAUAAGCGGAGGAAAAGAAACCAACAGGGAUUGCCCUAGUAACGGCGAGUGAAGCGGCAACAGCUCAAAUUUGAAAUCUGGCGUCUUUGGCGUCCGAGUUGUAAUUUGCAGAGGGCGCUUUGGCAUUGGCAGCGGUCCCAAGUUCCUUUGGAACAGGACGUCACAGAGGGUGAGAAUCCCGUACGUGGUCGCUAGCCUUUACCGUGUAAAGCCCCUUUCGACGAGUCGAGUUGUUUGGGAAUGCAGCUCUAAAUGGGAGGUAAAUUUCUUCUAAAGCUAAAUACUGGCCAGAGACCGAUAGCGCACAAGUAGAGUGAUCGAAAGAUGAAAAGCACUUUGGAAAGAGAGUUAAAAAGCACGUGAAAUGGUUGAAAGGGAAGCGCUUGCAGCCAGACUUGCCUGUAGUUGCUCAUCCAGGUUUCUACCUGGUGCACUCUUCUAUAGGCAGGCCAGCAUCAGUUUGGGCGGUUGGAUAAAGGUCUCUGUCAUGUACCUCUCUUCGGGGAGAACUUAUAGGGGAGACGACAUGCAACCAGCCUGGACUGAGGUCCGCGCAUCUGCUAGGAUGCUGGCGUAAUGGCUGUAAGCGGCCCGUCUUGAAACACGGACCAAGGAGUCUAACAUCUAUGCGAGUGUUUGGGUGUCAAGCCCGAGCGCGUAAUGAAAGUGAACGGAGGUGGGAACCUUUCGGGGUGCACCAUCGACCGAUCCUGAUGUCUUCGGAUGGAUUUGAGUAAGAGCAUAGCUGUUGGGACCCGAAAGAUGGUGAACUAUGCUUGAAUAGGGUGAAGCCAGAGGAAACUCUGGUGGAGGCUCGCAGCGGUUCUGACGUGCAAAUCGAUCGUCAAAUUUGGGGCAUAGGGGCGAAAGACUAAUCGAACUAUCUAGUAGCUGGGUUCCUGCCGAUCUC
rnacentral:rRNA from 1 species